rnacentral:lncRNA from 1 species
AUUUGCAGAAGGGCGGUGUGCUGCAGCAUUCGUGUUGUUUUCUUUCUUAGAUGCGAUGGUGCCAUGGAGAAUGGAGGCUCGUGUGGCGGAGACAGUGUUUGUGAUGCUCUGCGGCUGGCUCUCCUCCUGCCUCGCCGUUGCCGGCGACGUCGCCCACGCCCUCAGAACCAAUGACCUCUCAAUCUAGGCCACCUUUGACACCAACGGCGACAAGGAACCAACUCUGCUUCUACAGACUGGCCACUUCUAGAUUGCAGACAAAGAGUUCUUCCGUAAGACAAGUUCGAUGUAAAGGAGAAAUCUUCAUAUAGAAUAGAUGUGAAAUCUUGUCACAAAGAAAGAGAUGGCUACUGCUCGAAGUGACCUGACUUUCUAGCACUACAAAGCUCGUCGACGGAACUACACAGAGAAAUAUCCGAUAAAAAAAACCUUGAGAAGGUGCAGCGGUGUAUAUACGGAUUCUAACUCAUGAGAGGUUCCAAACCAUCUGGACUUCGAUGUUAUCGCCUCCCGGAUGAUUUCUUGAAAGACUCCGGCUUCCGGUGACCUCUUGGAGCCUGCUCCUCAUCAUCAUCGUCGUCAUUCCCCUUCCUCCUCCUCUUCUUGCUGCCACCGUCCUCCUUCAAUUUCUAAUAUAUAGCAACAAUGGUGACAACAGAAUCAAUCCAGCUGUCAUGGAAAUAUUAAAUUGAUUGGCCUUUCGAGUACAUACCGUUAGCGCGAUCCUCCUUGAGUCGGAUAUAUGCUCACGAAGUAUCAUGAUUUCAUCCGCAUCUACCUUACGAGGAUCUCCAAUUUUCUUUCCUGUUAAAGUAAGCGAUGGCUUCAGAACAAAAUAAUCUCCAAUUAUGUGUGCAAGGGAGACCGACAAACAAGGAAAACUAUUACCAAGGAGCGCCUCAAUCAUCUUAAACCACUCAGUCUCGUAUUGAUUUACCAAAGAUACAGCAUAUCCUGAUUUCCCAGCACGUGCAGUCCUACCCACCCGAUGGAUAUAAUCCUGAAUUGGUGUAGUGUACAUUUAUAAUCAAUGACAAAAUACAAAUGCAUGAUCUUCUUGAAACUGAAAACAAUAUGCAUUGAUCAGCAAAAUCGGAAAUAUCUAAAGUAUAAACCUUAGAAUUCAUUGGGAUAUCAUAAUUGAUAACAGCAUCAACUCCUUGAAUGUCAAGACCACGGCUCGCCACAUCAGUGCAGAUAAGGAUGUUGAAAUCUUUUGCUUUGAACUUGUUUAAAGCACCUAGUCUUUUGUCCUGAUAAAGAAAGGAAAGGUAACAAUUUGAGGUGAUAAGUAUUAUUUAUGGUUAAAAGCAUGUCAAAAAAGGCACUUCGACUUCCUAAAUAGACAGCCUAAUUGAACGGGAAAAUUAAAUACUUGUCUGAUAGAAAAGUUAAGAAAGUAAACCUGACUCAUUUGGCCACUGAUAGAGAGAGCUUUAAAUCCAAGAUUCCUUAAAGUGAGAGCCAGGAGUCUUGUUGACUCACAGGUCCGCACAAAGAUCAUGAUCAUGCUCCCUGGUAACUCAUUGAGAGCAUGAACAAGAUAACAAUCCUGAAACCACAUACAAAAAUGAUGAAUGAACAAUAAAUAGAAAUGGUACUCCAGCCACUAUAGUGAAUUAAGCUAAUCCCGGCCAUCAGUGUAUAAGGAAUUCCUGGGCUUAAUCAGCAUGCUUAUAUUAAAGUGUAGAAGAAAUCCAAAGAGGUAACACAGGCAUGCGAUUUAUUACACAAGAAAUGGAACUUGACUCUUAAUCUGGUAGGGCGUGGCAUGAGCAUGGAACCACAGAUCAUGAUAUCAGGACAAAAAAGACAGAACUGGUCUCUUAACCUUAAUGUAAUUACGCAAGUAUAUAUCAGCCACAUGGCUACAGAGCCACACUCCCAGUAAGUACAAGAACUAACCUUGUAGGCUGCAGGAACAAAAUACCAUUCUUGUUUAAGUGUGUCCACUGUAGAAUAUUUGGAGGAUACUUCCACCUGGUACCCCCAGAUAAGUAAGUUGCUCUUCCUUUAAUGUGCUGCUUAUUAAAUGCUCGUAAGACAAAGAAACAAUGGUGUCACCUUAGCAGGGUUUCUGAGACAAGCACGUUGCAGUUUGGCUACCUGCGGAGAAAAUUCAUAAGCUAUUCUGCAUUAGGUCUAACUAAAAAAUUAGGUAGCUAAGCCAUGAAGCACCACCAGUGAGAAAAAUAAGCUAGGUCACAUGUUCAAGUAGUAGUUCUAGAAAAACAAAUAUACCACAAAUUCGUUACAAUAAAUAGAAUUAUAUGACAAACUAUCCUCGAUUGCAGUAUCUCAAGAAUAUAUAAAAUAAUUAUCAAACCAGGUAGCAAAUAUGGGACAUCAAUCUGAUGAUUCAACAUGAUGUUUUAGUACUUUUGUUUCACGAGUUCAGAGGAAUGGUAACAAAAUCGCUUUCCUAUCCACAAACCUUUUUGGUCAUUGUAGCUGAAAAAAGGUAAGUUCUCCUUUCUUUCGGAAUGGCCUUGAGAAUAUCAUCGAGUGAUUCCUUAAACUCCAAAUUAAGUAAUUUAUCAGCUUCAUCCAGUACCUAGGAAGCCAAUACGUAGAGCAUGUGUCAAAAUAGAAGUUUCUAAGUUCAAGCAACUUGAUAUAAUUGACCAUGAGGUAUGCUUGAACAAUAUCAGGAAGUAGUUGACAAUGAAGGUACUGAACAGCUUGGUCGCCAACAUACUUAUGAUCGGUAACAUACAGCACAUUGCUUCAACUUACAGCAGAGAAGUUACAACAAGUAUUUGAGCAUAUAGAACCAAGAGUGAAAUUGGAAACAAAUACCAAUAGGGUGUCAUGAUUUCUCUCCCUUUGCUUAGUAGUUAGUAUUGCUAGUUCACAACACACACACACACUAGUGACAUUCACUUUGGCAAAAUAGGCUUUAAGUAAAUAGAAGGAAAAUAUGUUUUAUUAUGUUGGACGUUUAGCAUAACACUUCAGGGAUGAGCUCUUUCCACAAAUGUAACUUCCUGCUUUGACAGGUAAAAGAAGGUUAGUGAAAAGCCACUUUUCUAUGCUACACAUUACACCGAUUUGUAACAAGCGCAUGUGAUUUUCAACAGUUAAAAGUCAAAUCCAACCAAAGGAAACUCUUGUACCCAACAUUCAGCAAUCAGAAUUUUCUAAUCAUAUAUGAAACAUCAGUGUAAUUUAUACAUUAAAAAGAGUGUAUGCUUCAUAACGGGUAAACCAUGAUAACAUAUUUGCCAUGGAUGCCACUAAGAAAACAACUAGAAAAUGCUGAUAUACAAAUGAGGCUGCGACGAAGGUGAAGGAUUACAAUUGUCAACACAAGAAGCCCAACAAAGAGACUGCAGAAUAAAAAAAACUCAAGUUCUUAAAAAAUGCAAAGAAUACAUACCAAGUACUUCACUUUGUUUAGGCUAAAACCUUUUGUAUCUUUCAAAUGGUCCAAAAGACGACCAGGAGUUCCAACCUACACUUUGAAGCAAUUGAUUAAGAAACAACCUUGAGUCCAGGCCAAGACCAUUUUUCGAUGUCACAGAAGAAAUUGAAACCUUAUGCAUGUGAAGUUCUUAAGUUUGUCUCGUAAGCCUAAGCCCCAUGUGUUCUAUACUGAGAACACAUCUCUACGCAAACUGAGAACACACCUAUGCUGAGUUCAGUUAAGUGUAGGCGUCUAGGCCUUAUAAGGAUGUGUUUGCGAGCAUGGUGGUUUCCAAAAAAAAUGCAAGCACUUACAUAAUAUUAACUUGGAUAUAUUACUUGUUCAAAAAAAAACUUGGAUAUAUUACUGAUCAUUAAAUCUCUUCUUUAGGGCCUUAAUAAACUGAAUGAACAUGAAUAAUAACCGAAGUCGAAAGGCCCAAUAAGAUGGCCAACUGGAGAAGCUUCAGCUUUGGACAAAAAGGCCUUGCUUAACUCAAUAAGAAUGACUAUACGCUAGAGCACAUGCUAAAGCUUUUCCACUCAGGGAUAAAAAAACGUGUUGGCUGUGGAUUUGGCAGCGCAGAUGCACAUGUGCCACCUACAUACUCAAGCACACUUGUAAUCCCACAGCACAGAGGAUCCACAACAUGCAUUGUCUUGGGUGUGGUUGAGAAAUUCAUUGAUCUUAAAUGAACCAUACUCACCACAAUAUGUGGACGUUUUGCAAUGGAUAACACUUGCUGCAUCCGAUCAACUCCUCCAACAAGCUGCAAAAAGGGGCAAAUGAUUAAAACACAGCAAAUUGCAUUUUCAAAUUAUAAUGAGCAGAAAUAAUCAACAUUAGAGAGAAUAGUGAAGCAGCUUGGUCGUAGUGGAAGAGACAUUAAGGAACUUUGAAUUGCUCGAUAUAUGCUUGUAUAGAAACAAAGUUAUGAUGUAUAGUUAGGAUCUUAACUGUAGAUAUAACCAUGGUCCACUAUGCUUUCACCACAUCAAAUUAGGCUAAAGAUAUUCAAAACCCAAAUAAGAAAUGUUAUCAGACCAGACUCUUUCUACACCAAAAGUUUAUCAUCACAACAUUGGCAACCAGUAAAUAAAAUACAACGAUUAGUUAAAUCACAACAAUGACCCACGUAAGCGCGCAAAGAACUGCCAACAUCCACAUCCAUUUGGUUGUGAUCUUCAUAUCAGAUUAUCAGAACAAAUAAUUCACAAGCAUUAUCAUCAUCUUCACAUUAUGCUCGAUUAAGAGGAAAUGUUAUCCAUUAAUUUAAACCAUCAAGCCCAUCAAGCCAACCAAAGACAACAGCCAAAACAGAUCAUCGUCAUAGACAUAACUGAACCAUCAACUGAGCGAACUAAUGGAACAAAGACAAUUUAGAGCUAGCAACACAAGUUCCAGCCAGACUAUGUUCUGAACUUACGAAUAAUAAACAGCCAAUUGUAGUAGUACCACUUACCACGGAGCAAACCAAGCCGAUCGCGGACCCGAGCGCCUCAAACUGCUCCGCAAUCUGAAUCGCUAGCUCCCUGAAGCAAAAUAGUCAAACAGUAAGCUUCCACGCGGGUGGUGAAUAAAAUGUGCCGCAAGAAGGGAGAGGGAAAAAAAAAGGUGACCUCGUGGGCGACAUGACGCAUGCGAAGAAGGGCCGGCGGUGCUCGAGCAGCGCCUGGAUAAUCGGCAGCGCGAACGCGCCCGUCUUGCCGGACCCCGUCUGCCCCAGCCCAAUCAGGUCCCUCCCUGCACUCCCCCACCCAAACCGGAAACUCGAGUCAGCAAACUCGCCAGCAUCGAUCACGACUGCAGAUGGCCGGCGGCGGUGCAGGAUUGCUGGCACGCAGGCAAACACGCGCGCGGAGGAGGGGUGAGCUAGGUAGUUACGGAGUACUUACCUUGGAGGGCGUGGGGGAUUGCCCCCGCCUGUAUCUUCGUGGGCUCCUUCCACCCCAUGGCGUCGCACGCGUCCACCAGCUCCCGGCAGAUGCCCAGCUCCGCGAACGUCGAUGCCUCGGCCACCGGCUCCGGCUCCGGCUCAGGGUCCCGGUCCGCCGCCAUCGCUGCUACGAGGAGGAAGGAGAAGCUCUUCUGCGCGCGUGCGUCGGCGUGUGUUGGUGCUUGGCGCGGCGGUGGGUUUGCUAUGACGGGACGGAGAACGAAGAACCUGGCGCGGGCAUUAAACCCUUGCGGACGGGGAGGACUAUAACUGGCAGUUGGCCAACGGGCCCGUGCCGGGCCCAGGGCCGCAUUUAAACGGGCCGGGCCGUUAGGACGGAAGGCAGGCCCAGGCUAGUUUAGCACGGCGGCCCGUGAAGAAAAUACAAAAAAAUAAAGAAAAAUGCUAAAACAGCCUUGCCAUGUUGAGGACAAGACACGGUCCAAGGCAGGCCGCGGGGCAGGAACGGCCCGUUUAGCCUCGGGUCGGGCCAGUCCCAAGCCGGGCCGAGUCUCUGUGCCUGUGGGCAUUUUGACCGCCUCGGGUUGCCAGCUAUGGGCUGGCUAACGAGCAUGUUCGGUUCAUUAAGAAUUCGGUUCGUUAAGAGCUCUGUUCGUUAAGAGUUUGAAUCGUUAAGAUCGUUAUCGUUAACGAUCUGAGACCAUUAUUUGGCUCGGUUCAUUAAGAGCUUGCGAGCGCUUGUUAAACUCGUUAAGAUAAAUAGAAGUCAUGUUGAUCUAAUUUUUUUGGCAUUUUUUAUUUGCUUGGGAUAAAUUUUGGUCUCAACCAAAAUAUAUCAAAAGCUCAACAACGCUAUAAAAAUUGAAAAUAGCACGUCAAAAGAGAAAUAACAACACAAUUAGAGCAUCAAAAUAAGUUGAAGUAGCCACUCACACGUGAUGUACGAGACGAGCUCGCUAACGAGUUUAACGAGCGCUCGCCAAGCUCGUUUUUUAAGAUCGUUAAGCUUAACGAUCUGAAAAGGAAGUCAUGCCGGACCCUUAACGAACCGAGUUAGCGAGCGUUCAAUAAGAUUAUCGAACUUUGAUCUUUUUGCCUAGGCCCUAUGACGGAGGAAAGAGUAAUAAGAUUGUAUAAUAACCAAGAUUGUAUCGGUUGCUGAGGAAAGAGUAAAAAUACUCCCUCCAUCCCAUAUUAAGUGACUCAAAUUAUUACAAUAUGUGACGACAUUCUGUUAGAAUACUGAAAAUGAUAAAUGCAUUUGGAAAUUAACAAGUUUGGUCAAUUUUCAGUAGGGUCUUUGUAUAUAGGAUGUUGAAAGAUGGAGUUUGUGGGUGAUACUCUGCGCCUGGCUCUCCUCCAGCCUUGCCGCCGCCGGCUAUGUCGCCAACGUCGUCAGAACCAAUGACUUCUCCAUCUAGACUGCCUUUGGCAACGCCGGCGAGAAGGAACCAACUCUGCGUCUACAAACUAGCCACUUAAUUUGGCGCCACAGGGCAAGGUGAUUGAUAGAGUUCUUCCACAAGACAAGUUCGAUGUAAAGGAAAAAUCGACAUAUAGAAUAAAUGUGAAAUCUUGUGUCAAACAAAGAAAUAGCUACUGCUCAAAGUGUCCUGAUUCAUAGCUAGUGUAUCAAAAGGAACUACAUAAACAAAAUUUUGAUACAGCCUUGGGAAGGUGCAGUGGACAGCGGUGUAUAUACGGAUUCGAACUCGUAUGAGAGGUUCCAAACUAUCUGGACUUCAAUGUUAUCACCUCCUGGAUGAUUUCUUGAAAGACUUUGGUUUCCGGUGACCUCUUGGAGCCUUCUCCUCUUCUUCAUCGUCAUCAUCAUCCUGCUUCCUCCUCUUCUUGUGGCCACCGUCCUCCUUCAAUUUCUAAUGUACAAAAAAAAUGGUGACAUGGUAUCAAUCGAGCUGUCCGGGAAAUAUUAAAUUAAUAGGCCUGUCGAGUACAUACUGUUAGCGCAAUCCUCCUUGAGUCGGAUAUAUGCUCACGAAGUAUCAUGAUUUCAUCCGAAUCUACCUUGCGAAGAUCAAUUUCCUUUCCUGUUAAAGUAGGCAAUUGCUUCAGAAAAAAAAAACUCCAAUUAUGUGUGCAAAGGAGACAAACAAACAAGGAAAACUAUUACCAAGGAGCGCCUCAAUCAUCUUAAACCACUGGCCCUCAUAUUGAUUUACCAAAGAUACAGCAUAUCCUGAUUUCCCAGCACGUGCAGUCCUGCCCACCCGAUGGACGUAAUCCUGCAUUGGUGCAGUGCACAUACAUAAUCAAUGACAAAGUACAAAUGCACGAUCUUCUUGAAACUGAAAACAAUGUGCAUUGAUCAGCAACAUCAGAAAUAUCUAAGACCUUAGAAUUCAUUGGAAUAUCAUAAUUGAUAACAACAUCAACUCCUUGAAUGUCAAGACCACGACUCGCCACAUCGGUGCAGAUAAGGAUGUUGAAAUCUUUUGCUUUGAACUUGUUUAAAGCACCUAGUCUUUUGUCCUGAUAAAGAAAAGGAAGGUAACAAUUUGAGGUGAUAAGUAUUAUUCAUAGCUGUAUGUCAAAAAAGGCACUUCGACCCUAAAUAGACAGCCUGAUUGAAUGGUAAAUUAAAUACUUGUCUGAUAGAAAAGUUAAGAAAGUAAACCUGACUCAUUUGGCCACUGAUAGAGAGAGCUUUAAAACCAAGAUUCCUUAAAGUGAGUGCCAGGAGUCUUGUUGACUCACAGGUCCGUACAAAGAUCAUGAUCAUGCUCCCUGGUAACUCAUUCAGAGCAUGAACAAGAUAACAAUCCUGAAAUAGCAUACAAGAAUGAUAAAUGGAUAAUAAAGGGAAAUGGUGAGAAUGAAUUAAGCUAAUCUCGGUUAGGAGGACAGUUUAUUCAAUGUAUAAGGAAUUUCUGGGCUUAAUCAGCAUUAAUGUAACUCGGAGUAAGUUACCAUAAUAACUACCACAUUGGCACAGAGCCGCAGUUCGAUUAAGUACAAGAACUAACCUUGUAGGCCGCAGGAACAAAAUACCAUUCUUGUUUAAGUGUGUCCACUGUAGAAUAUUUGGAGGAUACUUCCACCUGGUACCCGCAAAUAAGUAAGUCUAUUAGUAAAGUUCCUAAUCCAUUAAUGUUUUUUUGCUUAUAAAAUGCUCAGGAGACAAAGAAAGAAUGUUGUCACCUUAACAGGGUUUCUGAGACAAGCACGUUGUAGUUUGGCUACCUGUGGAGCAAACUCAUAAGCUAUUCUGCAAUAGGUCAUGCGAACUAGCCAUGGCUACAAAGAUUCUCAUUUUAAGGACAUGCUCAAGUAGUAUUUCGAGAAAAACAAAUACAGCACAAAUUCGUUACAAUAAAUAGGAUUAUACCCAAGAAUUUAUAGAAUAAUUAUCAAACCAGGCAGCAGAUAUGGCUACAUCAAUAUGAUGAUUCAACGUGAUGUUCCAGUAAUUUUGGUUCACGAGUUCAGAGGAAUCAUUCGCUUUCCUAUCGACAAACCUUUUUGGUCAUUGUAGCUGAAAAAAGAUAGGUUCUUCUUUCUUUAGGAAUAGCCUUGAGUAUAUCAUCCAGAGAUUCCUUAAACUCCAAAUUAAGUAAUUUAUCAGCUUCAUCCAGUACCUACGAAACCGAUAAAUAGAGCACGCGUCAAAAUAGAAGUAUCCAAGUUCAAGCAAGUUGAUAUAAUUGACCCAAUGUGCUCCAACAAUAUCAGGAAAUAGUUGACAAUGAAGUUACUGAACAGCUUGAUCGGUAACACAUAGCACAUUUUUACGCAAAAAAAGGGUAACACAUAGCACAUUGCUUGAACUUACAACUGAGAAGUGAGAACAAAUAUUUAAGCAUAUAGAACCAUGUGUGAAAUUGGAAAGAAAUACCAAUAGGGUGUCAUGAUUUCUGUCCCUUCACUUAGUAUUGCUAGUCCGCAACACACACACACUAGGGAUUUUCACUUUGUUAAAAAUAGGCUUUAAGUAAAAAGAAGGAAAAUGUAUUUUAAUAUGUUGGAUGUUUAGCAUAACAAUUCAGGGAUGAGCUCUUUCCACAAAUAUAACUUGCUGCUUUAACAGGUAAAAGAAGGUUAGUGAAAAGCCACUUUUCUAUGUUACACAUUACUCCGAUUUGUAAUACUGGUUCUAUCUGUCACAAGCACAUAUGAUUUCAACAGUUAAAAGUCAAAUCCAACUAAAAGAAACUCUUGUACCCAACAUUCAAUAAUCAGAACUGUCUAAGCAUAACUGGACCAUCAGUAUAAUUUAUACAUUAAAAAGGAGUAUAUGCUUCAUACUGGGUAAAUCAUGAUAACAUAUUUGCCAGGAAUGCCACUGAGAAAACAACUAGAAAAUGUUGAUAUAUAAAUCAGGUUGCGCGAAACCUAAUAUAAGCCCAACAAAGAGGCCACAGAAAUAAAAAAACCUGAGUUCUGAAAAAUGCAAAGAAUAUAUACCAAGUACUUCACUUUGUUUAGGCUAAAACCUUUCGUAUCUUUCAAAUGGUCCAACAGACGACCAGGAGUUCCAACCUACACUUCAAAGGAAUUGAUUCAGAAAACAGGCUUGAGUCCAGACCAAGAUAGUUUUCCGAUGUCACAGAAGAAAUCAAAACCUUAUGCAUGGGAAGUUCUUAAGUUUGUCUCGUAAGCCUAAGCCCCAUGUGUUCUAGACUCUAGAGAAACACAUAUACGCUGAAUUCAAUUAAAUAAAGGCAUGUCUUAUAAGGAUGUGUCUGUCAGCAUGGUGGCUUCCAAAAAUUGCAAGCAUUUACUCCCUCCGUUCCAUAAUUCUUGUCCCAAAUUUGCUUAAAUAUGGAUGUAUCUAUUCCUAAAAAGUGUCUAGAUACAUGUAAUAUUUCGACAAGAAUUAUGGAACGGAGGGAGUACAUUAUAUUAUCUUAGGUAUAUUAUUACAGAUCAGUAAAUCCGUUCUUUACGGCCUUAAUAAACAGAGUGAGACUAAAUAGUAACCUAAAUCAAAAGGCUCAAUUAACUGGCCAAUUGGACAAAAAAUCCUUGCUUGACUCAAUAAGAAUUACUACAAGCUAAUGCCCAUGUCAGAGAUUUUCCACUCCGGUAUAAAAAAAUGUGUUGGCUGUUGAGUGUGGAUUUGGCAGCAUAAUUGCACCUACAUACUAAAUCACACUUGCAAUCCCACAGCACAAAGGAUCUGCAACAUGUAUUGUCUUAGGUGUGGUAGAGAAAAUCAUUGAAUAUAAAUCAAUCAUACUGACCACAAUAUGUGGACGUUUUGCAAUGGAUAACACUUGCUGCAUCCGAUCUACUCCUCCAACAAGCUGGAAAACAGGGGAGAUGAUUAAAAUCAAGUAGCUAGUGGCAUGGUAGACAAAAAACACAUCAGUGCAUUAGAAAAACAGCAGAUUGCAUGUUCAAAUUAUAGCAGAAACAAGAACAUUAGAGAGAAUAGUGAAUCAGAUUGGUUGUGGUGGAACCUUGAAUUACUCGAUAUAUGCUUGUAUAGCAACAAACUUAAGUUGUAUAGUUAGGAUCUUAAAACUGUAGAUGCAACCAUGGUCCACUAUGUUUUCACCAUAUCGAAUUAGGCUACAGGUAUUCAAAAUCCAAUAAGACGGAAUGUUACUAGGCAACCGGUAAAUAAAGACCAAUAGAGCAACACAAGUUCCAGCCAGACUAUGUUCUGAACUAUGAAUAAUAACAGCCCAUUGUAGCAGUUCCACUUACCACGGAGCAAACUAAGCCGAUCGCCGACCCGAGCGCCUCAAACUGCUCCGCAAUCUGAAUCGCCAGCUCCCUGGACACAAAAGCCGCACAGUAAGCUUCCACAUGAGCUCAAUAGAGGAAAAUGUGGCCCAGAAUGGGGGCAAAAAAAAGGUGACCUCGUGGGUGACAUGACGCAUGCGAAGAAGGGCUGGCGGUGCUCGAGCAGCGCCUGGAUAAUCGGCAGCGCGAACGCGCCAGUCUUGCCGGACCCCGUCUGCCCAAGCCCAAUCAGGUCCCUCCCUGCAGUUCCCCAGCAAAACCGAAGCUCGAAUCAACAAUCGGCAGCAUCACAGCUGCAAAUGGCCGGCGGCGGCACUUGAUUGCUGGCACGCACGCACGAACGCCCGCGGAGGGCUGAGCUAGCUAGUGAUAUUACUUACCUUGGAGGGCGUGGGGGAUGGCCCCGGCCUGUAUCUUGGUUGGCUCCUUCCACCCCAUGGAGUCGCAAGCGUCCACCAGCUCCUUGCAGAUGCCCAGCUCCGCGAACGUCGACGCCUCGGCCACCGGCUCCGGCUCCAGCUCAGGCUCCCGCUCCACCGCCAUGGCUGCUUCCGAGGAGGAGUAGAGAAGCUCUUCUGUGCGUGAGUGCGGGCGCGCGUGCGUCGGCGAAAGGGGCGGCUUGUGUUGGUGCUUGGCGCGGCGGUGGGUUUGUUAUGACGGGAGGUAGAAGGAAGAACCUGCAUUAAACCCUAGCUGACGCGAGGAGACAGAGGAAGGGGAAAGCUUUCAAUGGGCUGGGCUGGGCUUGGCUGGCAUGCUCGGCCCAACGACAUGAACCGCCAUGUAAAUAUACGACCAUGGGCUUCUAAGCCCGCGCCUUUGAUUGCCUCGUGCUGAUCCUUUGAUUGUGGCCCACUGCCAGGACCCUUGUUGAUGAUGUUUCCAGACCGUUGGCUGUUAGGAGGGAGACGGCUGUCUGGACCUGUACAUAUGUCUGCUGCUUGGCCACCGAACGACAUGAGAGCAUCUCUAGCACACAGCGAAUACAGCCCGAUCCAAAAAAUAACCGCCGUUUUUCGGUUUUUUGGAAAAAAAAUCCCUAGUAGAUACCGAAAACCGAUCCUGAUCCGAAAAAACUUUUCGGGGAUCCGAACUCACGAGCGAAAAAUUCCUAAACGAUCGGGACACGAAUCGGUUUUCACUUCCUCACCGAUCUCGUAAAAAACGGUUGGAGCUCACCCGCACGUUUUAUUUCCACCUGACUGCUUCAUCUUCCUCCUUUGGCCGCCGCCAACCCGCCUCCUCGGGCCGUCGCUCCCUCCAGCCAUGGCCUGGUGCUCCGCGCCUUGCUCAGGCUGACGCUCCCCCCCCCCCCCCCGGGCAUGGCCUGCUCGCCCCGCCGCGCCCUGCUCGCCCCUCGCCCCACGCCCGCCGCUCCUGCUCUCGCACCGCCCCCAUGACCUCCUCUCUGGCCGUCCGCCGCUGGUUCUGCGGCUGCUCGCCGGUUGCUGUGUGUGAGAAAUUCGGGUCGAAUUUGAUCUGUAUGGGUGCGAAUUUUCCGGUCGAAUUUGGUUUGUGUGUGUGCAUAUUUGGAUGAAUUGUCGAACUGUCGAGUUUUAUCUAACGAAUUGUCGUUUUUCGUUUCGGUAUCUUUUUACGGUUUUGCGCGGACUCGGGUAGAACAGUUACCGAAAACCACCUUUUCGGGUCAGUUUUCAGAUUAUGUUCUGGCCGGGUAAAAAUGAAAACGAAAUCCACUGAUUCGUUAUACCGAAUACACGUUUUUUCGGUUCGGAUUUUUUUAGUUACUGCUAGAAGUUGCUCGAGGUACUAUUAGUAGCUAGCAGCCCGGCUGAUCGAGCUGAUGCAUGCACUGCAUGCAAUACCAUAUGUGUGCACAGUUCCCUGAAGAUUACUGCUUAUAUACUAACAUGAACAGAGAACUGAAACUCAUCUUGAAAAAAAAAAAGGAAUGUGGUCUUGUAUUUUCCACCGAGAAAAUUUACUGCCACAUGAAGCCCUGAGAAGAUAUUUUGUUCCCUUCUUUUGAGCUUGUUAUCUAAUUUAUGUAGGAAAAGAUUGUGCUGCCCCUGGAACUGAACUGUGGUUGUUAAUAUGGUAUUUUUGACUGUUUUACCAUAUCAAUGACAAUUAAAGUAAAAGUUGAACAUAAUAAAAUAGUACAUAUUACAAGUCUAACAAAAGGAAAAGUCUCAAAUGUCUGAUUUUACACAAUGAAAAUAAAUUGCAUAUGCUGAGAAGAGGCUAAACUUGGUGUGACAGUUGGUUAACUUUUUUUAGAUUGUUGUCUACUUUGCAGUUUUGCCAACAAUUCUAUAAAGUCCAAUGCAUAUGUUAACCUGACCUUGAUCAGUAAAAGUCCCAUGGAUAUGUUAACCUGACCUUGAUCAAUAAAGCUAUGAUGAAAGGAGGAAAUAGCACAUCAAUCCAGUUUGAAAUUAGAUCAGCACACGUCUGGAGUAACCUGACCUUGAUCAGUAAAAGUCCCAUGGAUAUGUUAACCUGACCUUGAUCAGUAAAAGUCCCAUGGAUAUGUUAACCUGACCUUGAUCAAUAAAGCUAUGAUGAAAGGAGGAAAUAGCACAUCAAUCCAGUUUGAAAUUAGAUCAGCACACGUCUGGAGAGAGAAACAUGAGACUUGCAUGCAUAAGAGAGAAAUUAGUGCAUCAUCCCAACACUGACCAUGCUGUAAUCUCGUCAUCCUAAUUUCAACAAUAGAGCCGGCGACAGAUCCCGGGGAGAUGGUGCGGACGCCGGUUGCGGGGGAAAUGGGGAAGGCCGCCGGCGGUGGGGAGGAGGGGCAGGGCGGCCGGAGGUGGGGUGGGAGAGGAGCGGCGGCAACAGUGGAGAGGAGCCCAAUCCCGCUAGGGUUGGGCGAUGGGGAGGACGACUGCACGCGAGCGGGUCAGGUCUGCGUGUUUUUUCUGGAUGAACUUGGCGAUGGCAUUUUGGUCGUAAAAACGGUUCGCCGUGGGGGCAAGCCCGAAAAACUGGUCUUGACUGGUUUCUGGUAGCAACUCCUUUAAACGUGAUUUGGGUUGGCCUUCUGGUAGCAGCCCGUGAGAAAAAAAAAUUUCUUUCUUUUUCAGCUUCAGUUGCCGGGAACCUAAAAGCUGGCCCAGAAGCUCAAAGAAGGGGGCUAUAUGGAAACAUCCUUGGUUCCAUUGAUCCAGUGAGGCUGGGGGCUGAGUUUUUGCACAUCGAUAGUUUUGAAUUGCUUUGUUGACUUCGAUCAUUAAUUAUUGGUCCCUUAGGGCAACUCCAGUGUCCCUAAUUCAUCCGGCAAUAGAACUCCAUAUUGCGAUGUCUUAACCAAAUCAAUCAUCAAAGUCUUUACAAAUUUCUCUUGGACAUAUUAAUGAAAAAAGAAGAAGAAGAAGACGGCCUCCCCCGCCCGCCAUAGCCAAGGACCUAACAAAAAAUAGUUUUUGUGUUACAGAUAGGACACAAAAUAAUACGUACCACGCACUAGGGAAGACCACUUAUUUGCACGGAUUCUGCACAUUUUUUGGUUGUUCAAAGAUGUGCACACUAGAGGAUAUAUAGUGUCCCGGCCGUUUGGAGUAUCCGGAUAGAUGAAAUUCCUCGGUUUUAAACAACAAGGUCCGACCAUGCAAAUUAAGCUUUCUACUGAAACAAUUGAGUGUACGUAGUCGAGAUAGAAAAGGUGUGAGUUCCAAGGAACUCAAUCGAAAACUCAAACACGAUCCAUACACAGGUUUUGCGCAGCAAAGUGUUGGCUGCUUUUCGGGGUUUUUCCUUUUCUUUAUUCAUCAUUCAUAUAUAAGAUAAACGAGAGAAGCGGUGUCACGAUCUGGACUGGCCGUGCCAUCCCACGACGAAUCGUGCGAGCUACAUGUGUGUAACAAAACAGCGACAAGUAUUUAGAAACUGAAUGAGUACGAGGCAAUGCAGUAACGAAAAGCGUACGUGAUAUAUAGGAAAAAUUAAAAACAAUGAAGAAUCGAUGCAAAUUAAGCUAGUACGUGCUGGCGGCGAUGAAUGAAGGGGCCGGAUUAAUUCAGGCGGACGUACUCUCCGCUGAAUUGGUCACCCAGUGUGAUCUUCUUCAAGCCGCCCGCCGUAUUGACCCGCUGAUUAUGAGGUUCACGGACUGCAGCUUCACCACCAGGUCCUUGACGACCAUGUGCUUGUGGAUAUAAGAAGGCCGCGAGAACGUCGACGUCAGCUUCGUCACGUCGGUAACAUCAUUGUACGCGCCUCCCGUCCAAGUAGCAGCACAAAGAGGAGCGGCGGGAGGGCGCGAGAUAUCUUGGAGGAUCUAUAUACGUACACAGGCAGGUAUUAUACAUUGAGAGAGACCGGAAAAAAGGUCCAUAUAUAAUACAGUAAGUGUUUCAGUAUAUAAUGGAUCGGAUGAAGUAGUACUGUAAUUAACAUGCAUGAUAGAUAUGGAUCAACUUGCCGUGGCGUCCUUGUCCGAUCCGAAGCCAAACGUCUCGACGGCGUAGUCUAUGACGCGGACCAGCCGAGCGUUACCUAUGUUCUCAGCUCCGUCGGACAGGAGAAAGAUAACACCCUGAUGGUCCGUUCUCUCACGUUCUUGGAGGACCCGGAGGCCUGCCUCCAUAUUGGUCCACCCGUCCGCUUUAAUGUCUUCCCUUAUUAUACGUGACGCUUCUUUCUACUCGACUGGACCCAUCAAGGUCAGGUCGUACUUGAGAUCAGCAUCGUCACUGAAGGUAACGAUGCACAAGCGGUCAAGGCCGCGGAGCCAAGAGAUGACCUUCUCCAUGCCUUUCUUCAGAUUCUCCAGCUUAUCCCCCGCCAUGCUCCCGCUGGUGUCCAGGACAACCCCCAAGUCCAUCUGAGCUUUUGGGUCCCCUGGCUUUAUUUCAGGUGCGGUGAACUGCAGCAGCAACUGCGCCCGUAGGAAAACGACUCAUGAUGACAUGCCACCAAUCCCCCUGCCAUAAGUAUGUUUAAUUCCUCCAUUGGGUUGCAUUUGCAUAUCAAACACGCUGAGCAAAACAAAAAAAACAAAAAAACAAACGUACCUGCCAUGGUGUUGUGGGAGCCUUUGUGACCAACUAGGAAGCGCGCCUCGAUGCUGAUUGCUGCUGGCUUAUUUUAGCUGCUAGCUGCGUCCUUCUCCUGGAGUACUGCCUCUCACAACGGUUCCAUCCUACUCUAUAUAUACACACACAAAACGAAUCUCUAAUCGUCCUGUCUAAUGUUAUUAAACUACUACUCCAGUACAACCAAUGCACAGGGAGGGAAGGUGCAAGGCACCUCACACACGUACCCUAGCUACUGUCUCGAUCCACAUGUAAUAAUAUAUCAUCAAGGAGAUGUUAUAUAUUUUCCUUCUCUUUUCUCUUUUAUGGCCGGUAAGAAAACAGAGUGUGUAUGUAUAUUUUGGUCCUCAGUAAUUAAUUACUAUUGCCCAACUGCCACUUAAUUUGGUCCUCUAAGUAACAAAUAUCGCCAUUAUUUUUAUUUUGCAUUCCAACUUAUAAGUCGACGGAUUUCUUUUUUUGAAACUAUCGCCCAGGGAAUUUUAUUCCAUCGACGAUAAAACUUCUGACUGAACAAGCUCAGUCAGAAAACCAAGGGUAUUAGAGAAGUAAACAUAAGAGUUAUCAUAGGACAGGGCAGCCCAAGCACAAGCAUGUGCCACCCCAUUAGCUGUUCUCCUGACAAAACACAACUUAAACCCCUGGAACGAGGAGACCCACGAUUUCAUCUCCCGAAUAAUCUGGCCACACACAGACAUGCUCUCUCCACUGCUAUCCCAAUGCAAAUUGUGUCUGGCUUGAUGCACCCAUACAGGGGAAACUGAGGACGUGUGACUACAUCCGUAAGAUUAACAUCGAUCUAAGCACAAACCAUGCUCCCAUAGAGUACAUUUUUCACUGAGAUUCGGCAAGUGUGUGCGAUUCGUAUUCACUAGAAAGACUUCUCACUGGGUCAAGUAAACUAAAACAUGUAUUAGUUCAACAGAUCGAGCGACCAUGUGUCAGCGCCAUUCAGAUCCACAGCACAUUUAGCCACUGAACUGCGGGCGGAACAUAAGGUAUAGGUCUAAGUUUCCUAAAAUUUAAACUACGCAUUCAGAAGGCCGCGAACCAGCCUGCAGGCAGCUAUAGCUGCAUGGAUCACAGAUCAAGUCGUCACUCUCUGCUUGACGAAAAUGGAGGCCCUCGUACGGUCGAUGGAUCUUUUUUUUUAUGAAAAUGCAGCAGCGCUACUUUUCAUUACUUAAGGGAAAAAACACAAGUUAUUUACAAAACUGAAACCUCAGGAGAGGAGAGGAAAGAACAACAACGAAAAAAGAACUAAGAACACUCGGGGGCCUGACCCGAUGAAACCAGAAUUGUUCAAUCAUCUAAAAGGAGGCGACCGAGGUGCGCUUUCCAGGAUAGCAGCUCAUCGAAGGCGACAUCGCAUAGGUUGGCCAUAGAGGAUUGCUUGGAGUGGAAAACUUUUUGAUUGCGCUCAAGCCAGAGGUGCCACCAUCCUAGCAUGACGACCACAGCAAGCCGAGAGUGAGCUAUCUAUCUUGGAUGGGCAGCGCCUGUCUUCAUCGGACCACCAGGAGACAAGGCUGUUAGUGGAAGAGUGCGGCAAGGUAUUGACCUGGACAUUUGUUAUGGUUAGAAGCAGCGACCAGAGCUGAGCAGCGAGCGAAGAGGUUAUCCGCCGUCUUCGGAGAGGUACGGCAAGGUAUUGACCUGGACAUUUCUUAUGGUUAGAAGCAGCGGCCAGAGCUGAGCAGCGAGCGAAGAGGUGAUCCGCCGUCUUCGGAGAGGUACGACAAAGCUGGCAGAUAGGGUUAUGCAUGAUUCCUUUUAUGGCCAGCCGGUCAGCAGUGAGGCAUCUGCGAAGAGCAAGGGUCCAGGCGAAGAAUUUAACUUUGGUCGGGAUUUGAAUUUUCCAAAUAAGCGAGGCAGCAAGAGACAGAGUUCUGCUAAGAAAUUGAACAUUGUAGGCAGAGGAGACCGAGUAGUUCCCAGAUGCUUCAAGCGACCGGCUUUGGAAAUGAAUUGUCCUUGCCAACCGGCCAGCUUUUUAGCAAUCUUAUCAAGGAUAGCUUGGAAAUCCCCAUGUUUGAGCAUGGAAGUGGACAACGGCAUACCAAUAGAAGUGCAAGGGAAGGAGCCCUUGUCGCAACUGAAAGAAGAGACGGCCUGUUUCAACUCAGGAUCAUCACAUUUUAUACCAAAAAUCCUGCUCUUAGCGAAAUUGACGACCAGCCCGGUAGAUUGACCAAAGAGCUUGAUGAUUUUAGCAGUAGCAAUUUGGUCAUUGGUUGAGGAAAAUCAUCGCGUCGUCAGCAUACAGAGACACCCGAGGGAGCCGGCCGUGGCAGCCAAUUGGGAGCAAAAUAGCAUUAUCUUCAGCCAACGCAAGCAACUGAGCCAGGCAAUCCAUGACAAGAACAAAUAGAAGCGGUGACAGAGGGUCUUCUUGACGCAAGCCACGUCUGUGCAUAAUUUUCUCAGACAAGGAUUGGUUAACCAGGAUGUGGGAGGAGGAAUUUCUCAGGAGCAUGGCAGUCCAUUGGAUCCAUCUUCUUGGAAAACCGAGGUGAGCCAGCAAUUUGAUAAGAAAAGGCUAGGAGACCGAGUCAAACGCUUUGAAAUGUCAAGUUUGAGCACCAGGGUAGCAUGAUUGUCGCUGCGCAGCUCUCGGAUAGUAGAUUGGAUGAACAUGAAAUUUUCAUGAAUACAUCUGUCCUUGAUGAAAGCACUCUAGCAGGAGGAGACAAGCUGCUGCAUGUGGAGUUGUAACCUCAGUGUCACGGAUUUAGUGUCCAGCUUAGCAAAACUGUGAAUCAGACUAAUUGAUUCAACUAGUUGAAUUAACUCAACUAGUGACGGGUUUGUGAAUGAACUAACACGGUUAAGUAGUACUCAUGGUUAAUUCUGCAACUACUGACAGAGUUCUUACAACUGUUUAAUUUGGAAGUUGUGGUGCCGACUGUCACUCAUUUGUUGAUAUUAAUUAGUAGUACCAAUUGGCUGUUCUUAUAGAGUUAUUUGUAUGUUAAUUUUGCAUGCAUCACUUUAAUCUGGGUCAAUUAUGUCACCUGAGCUACUUAAUUUAAACAAGCAUGGGGAUUUUAUGAUGACAUGGAUCGUCCUUGAUGGCAUAUGUAUCGCAUGGCAAAAGUACCCGUGCAUCUCAACCGAGGGUUUUGAAAAUUGGAACCUUUGCCACAUCUCAAGAUUGAACCAAAAGGCUGCUUUUCAUAUUGCCAACAAAUUUUUACUUUGGCGCAACUAUCCACAGUUAAGAUUGACCAAGCAAUGGUUAAGUUAUGAUGGAGCGAUGACUCAUCGGACGGCAAAUGACAGAUCGAGAUCCACAUUGUUAAACAAAGACUAGACUAACCAGACCAGUGAGGCAGUGAGAAUACUAAGGGCAUCUCCAACGAGGGGUACCUAACAGGUACUAAUAUUCUCUUUCUUACUUUUGAGGCUGAGGUGGAACAAAAAGUGAAGAUAUGGUAUGUUGCAGUAGUAACAGUUUUGGCACAAGAACCAAGAAUGUGAAAAGAUAGUUUAAUAGAGAAAAGAGUAUGCCAUGUGAACCCAGACUGAAAAAGUAACAUUAACAUUGAAGAGAGAGAAAAAUAAAUAAAAAAAGGAGGCUAAGUACUGGGUUUUCUCUGCUCUUGUUGAGGAUGCCCUAAGUUCCAGCACAUGGACAUGGAGUGAUGAUGACUCCUCGGACGGCAGAUCGAGAUCUACAUUGUUAAACAAAAAAUAGACUAACCAGACCAGUCAGAAACGUUAAGCAAACAUGCUUGUUGCUCAAUCCUCGGGUCGGUCGAACGUCCAGGGGAUCAGCAUCGAAACCAUAACUGAACCAGAAACAGGUUGCCGAUCGACACCAAUACAAUACUCACGAGUUAUUUCAAAUUUCAAAACACUAUAUUGUACUCUCUUCGAUUUUAAAUUCUUGUCGUGAUUUUAGUUCAAAUUUACACUAAAAUCUUCUUGUCAUGGUUCAAACUUAGGAUCGGAGGAGCACGUGAGAUUCGACUGCACUCAUAUAGGACAUGUUAUUAACUUGACUUGACCAGAAAGCAAGAUAUAUCUAUUGGCUGCCCAAAUUGCCGGUGCUCUAACAUAGGCAAAGAAAUUAAUAUGCAUGUUAGAUUUAAUCAGCCCUCACUCGAGCAGCUGAGAUUCCUCGGAUCGGAAUCUGCUUAACAACCUAGCGAUGCUAACAUGCUUCAAGUUGACUUUGAAAAAUUUGUAUAAUCAUACCGACUGACGUGAACAAAUUUUGAGAAACAAGACUUCAUGACAAGACUUUACAAAACUGAGUUUAGCUGAUUCAGCCAUCACGUACGCUGGCCAAAAAUGGAGCAGCUGGUUUCACGGAUCGGGAUCUGCACCGACACUAGCUAGACAUGUAUAACUGAACGUGCGUUGCAUUAAGACGUCACAAUGCGUACGUCAACUGAUGACAUACUAGCUUGGAGAUGUGUUAAAUUAAGACGAGGCACUACAACAAUUAAUGAACUACUCCCUUCGUCCUGAAACAACUGACGUUAUUUUGUAUAAACUCUUAUACAAAUCCAUGUCACUUAACGGCGAGGCGUCUGCGGUGACUUCGUCAAUCUCUCAAGAUCUGCCGGCCAGUCUUUCGGAGGUGCUCAUAGGAGUAGGGUGUGUGUGUGCGCGCGUUCAUAGAUGUGAGUAUAUGCACGUGUUGUGAGUAUCUGCGUUUGUACUGCGUUUCUAAAAAGAAAAGGAGCAUAUCAUUUUCUUGAAAUUCCAUGAUUAUAUUUAAAAUUAUACUUUUCGAAUAUAUAGUGGUUUCCUUGAAUGUUGUUAUUAACUUGCCUUGACCAGAAAACUCCAUGAAAUUGCAGGGGCGCUUAAUGGUUUCUGUAAGUACUCGUACAAAGUUAGCUGGAUCGCCCGAUCGGGGGAAUACUGUGGCUCACACCCUUGCUCAGUAUGCUAGAGAAAAGGCGUCUUCAAGUCUCUUAACUGGUUCAGUCCCGGGCGUGUGUUCAUAUUUGUACUUAGCCGCACUUUCCAGUUAAAUGAAUGCCUUUUCCCUUUAAAAAAAGAAAGCAAGAUGUCUUGGCUGCCCAAAUUGCCGGUGCUCUAGCAUGGUGAAAAAGGCCUCCCGUGUCGCCCACGGGCGCGAGGUGACAACGUAGAAAAAUCACCAUUUUGAUUGUUUUCGUGGGUUUUUUGAGAUUUUGGCCGAUUUUUUGAUAUCGUAGCCACCGAUAUAACACUGUUCCGGGCCAUUUUGGGCCGAAAAUCACCCUUUUAGUCGUAUUUGUGGGUUCUAAAUCACGUUUUUUUGGAUUUUUGGCUGACCCCUUGGUAGGCUGAUAUGCUUUCCUUUUUUUGGGAGCAACACAAAAAAUCAUCGGUUUGGCAAUUUUUCGUGGGCUAUAGCUCAUGGUUUUUGUGUGGCCGUUUUUGGCUCGGUGCCGAAAAUCACUGUUUUGGCUUUUUUGUGAGCUUUUGGCCGAUAUUCGACACCGGGGAUGUUGAAAAUCACCAUUGAAAAAUGUGCCGAAAAUCACAUUAGACCACUUUGGUCUAAUGUUGAAAAAUCGUCGUUGUCGUAGCCCGGGGCUUAGACACCGGGGAUGCGAGGCACCCCCUUUUUGGUUCGGCAGUGGGCGUUGGGCAUCGCUCCGGCGAUUGCCGGCGAGGCCAAUGACGAGCGUACAAUGCACAAGCCUGUUUACCCAGGUUCGGGCCACCCUGAGUUGUAAAACCCUACGUCCUGCUUCUGAGUUUGUAUUAGCCAAUGAACAAGUGUUUACAGGUUGCCGGGGGAGUCCCCGGGUGCUCUCUUCCUUUUUUGCUAAGUGGCUACUUGCUACUUUCGUCUAAAGCCCCAAACUCUAACUCCACUAGAGUGCAAUCUAGAAAAGAACCGAACCUCCCGACCGAUGGCGCUGGUUCUCCUUUUAUACUCAAGGGGAUACCACAGGUGCCUCGGUGGAUGGGGGACAAGUGUCGAGCAAAGACCCUAGACAACUUGCCCUUGCUGCGCUAGCAUGCAUGCAUGGUGCUAAGUGUUGUAGCUAGGGCGAUACGUGCCUUAGAUUCACUGCGAGCCACUCACUGUGGGCUGACUAGACAGGGAACCAUCCUUCUGUUGGAGCAUUUAAUGCUUGCUUGUGCCAUACUCCACGCUCUGACCAGCCCUGCACAAAAGGAGCCUGCCGGGCGGCCACGUGGUGCCAAUACUCUGCUUGCACUGAGCGCCGGUCCUGUUGUAACCGCCUACGCCAGAUAACACCCUCCCUGGCAAGUGAACUUCCUGGGGGGCGCCCUGACGGGAACUUUCACGCUGCCAUCCGAGGCAACCCCCGCAGCCCGGCUAGUCCUGUCGGGCUGGUGGCUUCCCAGGCAGCUCGCACCACGCUGCCCGGGGUGCCGUCCUUGCGGGGAGCAAGCGAGGCAACCCACGCGUUGCGCAUUGGUGGUACCCCGGGUGCCACUGGUGCGACAAUCGUUUUACCCGUUUUCGUGGAUAUAGCACAUAAUUUGGGUUUCCACCGAUUUUUCGAUAUCGUGACCCCACGAGGCAGUGUUUCGGGCCGUUUUUGGCUGAAAGUCGUUGUUUGAGCCGUUGUCAUGUGCUAUAGCUCAGCUUUUGGGUUUCUUCCAAUUCUCCGAUAUUGUUACCCACCUAUGCGGAAAAAUUAUCGUUUUGUUCAUUUCCGUGUGUAGUCACGAAAGUACUAAAAAUGACAAGCAGUAAAAGCAUACAAAGACUUGCUCGAAACAACAAAAUUACCAUGCACGAUCGGCCACCAAACUCAACUUGAGCGCGCAAUAUGUCGCAACCAUAGUGUUCGUUUGUCGCGGUUAAAACUCCAUCAGAGGUACCAACGGUGGAUAUCAUCUUUUCUUAUUUUCAUAGCAGCGUUUCAUUUUGUUUUAUUCAUACAAUGAUCCGAAGACCGGACUCCACGGUUGCAAGAUAACCAAGUUUUUUUUUGGGGUGGUGGACAAGAUAACAGAGUUAUAAAAGAAGGUCCCGUUAUCUUGUUCACAUUGAUGUGUUCCAAUUGCGUUGCCAAGUACUCCCUUCAUUCUUUAAUUUUUGUCGAAAUAUUACAUGUAUCUAGACACUUUUUAGAAAUAGAUACAUCCAUUUUUAAAAAAAAUUUAGACAAAAAUUAUGAAACGGAGGUAGUAGUGUAUUUCGUAAUGGAAAAGGGCAAGAAGCCAGGUGUUUGAAAAAUCUUGUUCACCUUGAAAAUAGACGAGAAGUCAACAAUGAUGGUGCGCCUUGCGCUCGUGCUAAUCCUUUAACUGUCGCUAGGCCCCUUGCUGAUGAGGGCCGGUCCUGAAAUUUCAGAGACGCCAGAGCGAACUUCAUGAAUGGGCCUAGCGACUGUAGUGAAGGGGAAAAAAAGGAUUUCUUACAUCAACAGAACAGAGGGUAAAAAGUUAAGAGUGUAUAAUACAUGACUAGUCCAUAAACUGGGAGGAAAUAAACAUCAUAAUCCAUGAAUUUAUAAAACGUAGACAUGAUUUUAAAAUCAUAUUCCCUCCUUUUCACAACCACGCUUUUCGAGGUCAAAAUUUGACCUACAAUAUGUAGAUUAUAUGUUGCAAAAUUUAUAUCGUUGGAAAUAUUUUUGAAAUACGAAUCCAAUGAUAUAAUUUUUUAGCACAUAACUCUCAAAUCAUUAGUCUAAUAAUUGUCGGUCAAAAUAAAAUUUUAAAAUGCGGACCAUUCUUUGUGAAAAGGAAGGAAUACUAGUGAUACAAUUCAGUCAAAAAUAGGUUGUAGGAGUAAAAAAAAAGUAGGCACGGGGCUGCCACGUCGAAACGAAGACGGUGAGAGGAUGGACAUACGAGCGCAGGCUCACGAGCUGGACCAGGCCAUGGCAAGCCGGACCGAGCCAGCAUGUUUUCUGGCCGAGCCGAGCUUCAAAGAGAGACUUGUUCGGCCUUCGGCCGAGCGGCUCGGUCUAGUCCGCGAGCUGGCGGCCCGAAGAAAUUCAACAGCCCAUCGUCACCGAUUCACGGCCCAGAGACGCCUCCCCACCGUUCAGUCCGCAAUUCCCCCACCCGGAGCUGCCGGCUGUCUGACUGCCGCCCCGUUCGGCCGCGGCACACGGUGCAGGUGCAGCGCGGGGUCACCAAGGCAGGGACAAGGAGAAGCAGGAUAAUGUGCAUUGCUGGUCCCGCUGCUUGCUGUUGGUGUUGCUUAGCUGUCACUAUUGACUAUUUGCUGUUCCUGUCGCCGGAGCGCUGGAGCAGCAGGCAGCCGCUGGGAGAAGAAGAUCCGCCGCUGCUUGCUCGCUCUUUGCCUGCCGUUGAGCUGCUGCUUGCUCUGUUGGCUGUUGAUCUUAAAUAAAAACACAUUAGGACUUGUUUGGUGUUACUGGAUUUUUUAGCCACUGGUGAACUCAAAACACUAGUGUUUUGGUAUAUGAGAUGUGUUUUAAUUUGGUUAAAAAAUGAAAUGUUUUGUGGAAGAAAACUAUGAAUAAUCUUCUCUAGACUCUUCGUACCAAACAACCAUUUAUAGUUUAUAGUGUUUUUCAAUUCGGAGUAGAUAAUAUCAUAAAAAACACCUAAAAACUCUAGUAUCAAACAAGACCGGCUGUUACUGCUGCUUGUGCAGCGUGGUAAACCAUGACGCCGACGACCUAGUCUAAAGGCCACCAAACGUCCGGAGUGUACUACCCCCUCCGUAUUAUGCAUCGCGUGAGCGUGAUCGGGCUGCAGCUGCAUCGUGCGUUCGCGGACGGACGCCGGGCACCGGCCCCUCGCCAGAGAACGACUGAACGAAGUUAACAGGACCAACAAGAGUGAGCAUUUUACCAGCCAUCUUAAUCUUCAAUUCUUUGUACUGUAUUUCCUUAAAUACACGACAAGUAUUUAGGACCGGAGGGAAUACUAAUUUUCAAUUUGUUAAUUAAUCUAGUCUCGUUAAAUUUCAGAACUACGAAGCCAUCGUCUAGAAUGUAUCCAUCCGGCGGUGAGAAAAGGAAAAGAAAGAAACGAGACGAUACAUGGUAACAAUCGGCAGCAUCACAGCUGCAAAUGGCCGGCGGCGGCACUGGAUUUCUGGCACGUACACGCGCAGAGGGCUGAGCUAGUUACCUUGGAGGGCGUGGGGGAUGGCCCCGCCCUGUAUCUUAGUGGGCUCCUUCCACCCCAUGGCGUCGCACGCGUCCACCAGCUCCCGGCAGAUGCCCAGCUCCGCGAACGUCGACGCCUCGGCGACCGGCUCCGGCUCCAGCUCAGGCUCCCGCUCCGCGGCCAUGGCUGCUACCGAGGAGGAGUAGAGAAGCUCUUCCGUGCGAGAGUGGGCGCGCGCGUGCGUCGGCGAAGGGGGCGGCGUGUGUUGGUGCUUGGCGCGGCGGUGGGUUUGUUAUGACGGGAGGUAGAAGGAAGAACCUGCAUUAAACCCUAGCUGACGCGACGAGACGGAGGAAGGGGAAAGCUUUCACUGGGCUGGGCUGGGCUGGCAUGCUCGACCCAACAGCAUACUCAGCCCAUGUAAAUAUACGACCAUGGGCUUCUAAGCCCUAUGGAGGUGAGCCCACCACCCCUUUGAUUGCCUCGUGCUGAUCCUUUGAUUGUGGCCCACUGGCCAGGCCCGUUGCUGAUGAUGUUUCCAGACCGUUUGGCUGUUAGGAUGGAGACGGCUGUCUGGAGUGUGGACCUGUUACGCAUGUCUGCUGCUUGUCCAGCGUCAGGUAAACGGUAAACCAUGACGCCGACGACCUGAAGUCUAAAGGCCACCAAACGACCUGAGGUACCAGUAGUAGCUAACAACCCGGCGUGAAGACUAUUACUCGGAUACUAAGAUGAACAGACAAAGAAUUGAAAUUCAUCUUGAAAAAAGAAAGAAAGAGGGAACGUGGUCUUGCAUUUUUCCACUGAUCCUUAAGCUUGUACUCCCUCCAUUCCUAAAUACUUCUCGUGAUUUUAAUUUUGCAAUAAAACCACGACAAAUAUUUAGAAACGGUUUGCACUAAAACCAUGACAAGUAUUUAGGAACGGAUGGAUUACUGUAUACAGAGACUAAGGAAACAUCCUAAAGCUUGGUUCCACUGAUCCACCGAGGCUGGGGGCUUUAGUUUUUGCACAUCAGUAGUGUUCUGAAUUGCCUUGUUGACUCCGACCAUUGAUUAUUUGUCCCUUAAGUCUUGAAGUAUAACUAAUCAUGUCUGGACCGGCCAAUAGACGAGAUGACACUCUGACAGUAACAAGACAGGCUCGCUUUCCUCUCAGACAUGACCCAAAAAACAUAGGCCCGCGGCAGGUCAGGUUUCCUCUUCAGGCUGUCCAUCUUCAAUUAGUUAGCCGUAGUACGUACGUGCAGAUGUGCAUGGCCUGUGUUGACAUAGCUCAAUCUGCAAUUCUGAAUAAUCAUACUUAUUGUUAUCAUUAUCUGGAAAAAAAAGGGCUGCAAAGUGACUGGAAAAAAUAAUCUAAUUAGUGUACUAACGGUCCAGAUCCUCCUCUUAUCUUUCGGUCACCGUGGCUUUACUUACAAGGCAAUUAGGCAAACGCACUCCGAAUUGUGCCAAGCUAUAGCCUGUAGCUUUGCUCUCUUUGUAAGCCAUGCUUUUCUUCUCCCUUCAGCCUUCAGGAGUUCUAGAUAUUAUCUAUUCAUUUAUUUUAGAUAAUUAUGAAAAAAGUUAUUUGUAUACAGAGAGAAGUACUAUCGGGAAAAAAAGAUUCCCCCCUCUAGAAAAUCGGAAUUCCAUGGAAGUUUGGUUUGCUUGUAUGGAACAAAAUCUGAACUUCAGUAUUGCUUCUGCAAAAGGUCACCAUCGGUUUAGCAGUGUAUGAUUCAGGCUCUCUUUUCUAUCGCCCUUGGAAAAGAUAGAAAUUUCUGUUUCAAACUAUAAACAACCUGUGAUGCAGAAGAAUGUCUCUCUUCUUUAGGGUCUUCACUGUGUUGUGCAUUUCAACCCAAAGUUUACAAUUCCCUUUGUAAAGGAAAGAUAAUGGCUGGAAAUUUUUUUGUCAACUCUUUCAGCCGGCAAUAUCUCAGCCAGACAGAAAACUGUCGUUGUCCGUGCUUGUAGCCCAUUCAAUUCAGUUCGUGCUUGUCUGAAGAAAAGAACACACUUUCCACGUUCAUGUUUCAGAUGUUUCUCUUGAUGGCAUCAGGAGGCCCUCCAAGUCUCUAAUUGAUCCAGCAAUAGAAGAUAGAACUCCACAUUGGGAUGUCUUAACCAAAUUAGUCAAAGUAUUUACAAUUUUCUCUUGGACAAAUUAAUGAACAAAAAAGAGAAGAUGACGGCUUUCGAUUCGACUUCUCCACCAAGCGAUGUAGUCGUAAUUCGCUUGAUUCAUAGCAUGGAGUGUGUUUUUUUUAUUUUCUUUUGCACAUGCAUAAAUGAGGCGAAAGGAGACUGCUGCUCAUUUGCCACCUCUGCAACUCCAAGCUCCAGCUGCCAAAUUGUUCUAAACAGCAACUCAUCAAUCCUUCCUUCUAAACAGUGUGGCAUUUAUCAGCAACAGCUAGGAUCCAUCGGCAGAUACAUCCCCGGGGACCCAAAAAACACACAAAUCAUGGGCGAGUUGGGCGCUCGAUUGGGUCCAUGGAUGCAUGAUCCUGGACCAUGCCCAUGCCAAUGGGUUUGCAUUUUGCAAGGUACUAGCAGUACUGUGCUAUUUGCAAUUGAUGUGCUUGCAUUGAUCAGUUGUUCAUCCAUGCUUCCUAGUUCCUGAAGAGCUUCUUCAACAGCAUUAACAUUAGGGACAUUACAUGUUUCUCAAGCUGCAGAUAUAGCAAACCUGAGAUUGCAAUUCUGUGGGAACUCUGGUUUGCAAAUAAAGCCUUCAGUACUGAAAUGAUAUCCCAGCUAGUCAAACCAUCCUGGUUUUUCAGGAUCGAAUUGCUUUGCAAUAGAAUAUGGUUCACAUAAAUAGAGAAAGAGAUAAAGUGAAUAUGUAGAGGAAAAAAUGACAGGCUCUCGUUGAGGCUGAGCACAAAAACAGAGACCACUUGUAGCAAUGUUCAAGAACCUUCCUUUCGGUUGUGCAAACCGAAAACUUCAAAGCCGUUCCCACCGGUAAUAACGGCCCCAACACCAGGGACCCACUAGCCAGCAGACAGCCAGUCUAUUCACAAGCUAGAAGGAGCAAGAAAAUAAGAGAGGUUAUUUUUAGCUAUUGCCGCCAUUCCAUGUACCAUGUUCCUCCUUCCAACUGAAAACAGUCACCAUCAGUCAGUCUCUCAGUCACAGUUAUUACUGGUUUUCGUUGGAGAAAACAGUUACUAAAUCAGCUGUGCCAUUUCCCUUCACAAGAAAUAGUCUGCCCAAAUUAGUUAAAAGUCAUUUUUGGAGCACUCAGCAUCAAGAAGAACUGAACCAAAAGCAACCAGAUAAAAACUUCCACAUAGAAGAACUAGAAGAAAAUAUAUACGCCAGCCAGCCGGCCCACGACUAAACCCCACUAUCCUUCCCGGCGAAUUCUCCAUUGCUUCGCUUCCGCAAGACUCUUUCUCCCCCUUUCCCCCCUUCCUCGCCUCAAGGUAGGUAGCCGCCAUAGCCGAGAACCUAACGCAACUGCACGCCGUUGAUCGGCGGCGUCCGGCCGGGUCGAUGGAGCCAUCGUCGGACGACUGCGGGGUUGCCGCCUUGGCGGCCGGCGGCGGCAACAAGAAGCAGCAGCCCCAGUUGGGGCGGUCGCUGACGUACCACCACGGGGGGCACCGGCGGGGGCGGGGGCGGGCGCAGCUGGCGGACGAGCCGAGGGCGAGGGCGGACGCGGUGGUGCUCUACACGACCUCCCUCCGCGGGGUGCGCCGCACCUUCGCGGACUGCUGCUCGUCGCGAGCCAUCCUGCGCGGGCUCCGCGUGGCCGUCGACGAGCGGGACGUCUCCAUGGACGCCUCGCUCCGGGGGGAGCUCCAGGCCCUGCUGGCGGCGCGUGGGCGCGGGUUCUCGCUCCCGCAGUUGCUCGUCGGCGGGAAGCUCGUGGGCGGCGCCGACGAGGUCCGCAGGCUGCACGAGUCCGGCCAGCUCAGGCGCCUCCUCCGCGGCGCUGCUGGCCAGGACCCGGCCUUCGUCUGCGCUGCCUGCGGCGGCGCCCGCUUCGCGCCUUGCCCGGCAUGCGACGGCGCCCGCAAGGUGUUCGACGAGGAACAAGGCCGCGCACGACGCUGCGGCGACUGCAACGAGAACGGGCUCGUCCGCUGCGCCUACUGCUCUUCUUCUUGACUUUGAAAUCGAUCGAUCACCGCAAACACGAUCGUCCGAAUUCCAGUUCUAUUAUUCGCUGCUAAUUAAUUUGAAGGAGGAUAUAUAUUUAGAGGUGGUAGAUGAUUCGUCAUCAGAGAGGUGCGUUUCAUAUUGUUUCUUGGCGUUGGAUUUGUGUGUUAUAUAAAUCUGAACCCGAUCAUUUGGGGAUUGGUUCAGAUUGGGUGCUGUGCUCAUGGUCAUGGAGGAAGAACGAAUUGCUGUUCUUGCUGCAGAAAAAUUGCCAUUGUGGUGAUGGCGAUUUGGGAAAUAAUACGGUGCUUGUAUAUGUGUGUGUGGGUAAUGUAAAGGGAAGAUUUGUCACUGACAUUAGCUUGAUUAAUUAAUGUAAAUACUUGAGCUUGGUUGAUCAUAUUCUUGCCUGGUUCUUACUUCUCCUCUUGUCUUUGCUUGCUCUGAUUAAUAUCUUCUUUCUUUUUUGAGGGAGAUUAAAUUUCUUCUUGAAUAGAUCAAACUGUUUGAUCUGGAAAUUAUCCAACUUCAACUAUUUGAUAGCACCUUAACUGCAAUCAUGUUGUCCCUUAGCUGUACCUACUAAACUAGAGCCACCUCUUCUUUCAAUUUUUUUUUUCAUUUUUUCCUUUUUAUUUUUUUUAUGGAGUGUCUCUAAACAAGUAAUGUACUCCCUCAGGUUCAAAUUAAUAGCUGCAGGUUUGUCUAGAUACGCAUGUUGCGACAGUUAAUUUGGAUUUGAGGUGGGUUUACCACGACUCCUGUAUUCUGGGGAGACCCUGUGGUUCCACCGUAGUCCGUGUUUUUUAAGACGCAAAGGUUGUUCGGUGAAUCUGUGAUCAUUGCAUCCUGGAGAACUUUCAAUUAUUUCCCCUAUUUCUUUGCAUGACACAGAAUGGCUUUUGAAUCUUUUGAUCGAUGCAAGUACAAGUUCAUCAUAUCUUGUAGGAUCUAGAAAAGGCUGAAGAGCUGUAGACUUAUAAUAUAUCCAUGUAAUGCGGAUAAGUUCAGUCAGAUUUUUCAAGAGUUACAAAUGAUUCAACUGGAAUAUUUCAAAAGUUACAAUCUGGGUUCAACGCAUGUCAGGCAAUAAGUACGCUGUUUCCUCUCUUUUUGCCCCUUUGCAUUUCUUAAUUAUGUUUGCUAUUGUUUGGAACUUUGGAUUAACUAGAAAAUCAGAGUCUUUUGUCUUGAUUUUCCAAUUUGGAAUGCAAAAUAUCGCCAAAGUACUCCUAAAAGAAACGAUCUAAAAACAUCAAAUAUGUUAUAAUAUAGCAUGAGCAUCCUGCAAAAAUUAGACUCGUAAAGGAGACAAAUUUUCAGCAGGAGCAGCCACAGAUUUGGCAGCUGUACAGACACCAUUCAACAUGAGAAGCGGCAACCUGAAGAAUGAACAAUUCAACAUGAGAAAUUCAGAACAUUGGCGGUGUCUGUUAUGGAUAACCAGUCUGACACAUACAGAGGGGAGCUACAUGAUUUACAUUCCAGGAGGUACCAGCAAGAUCUCCCUAAAACGGGCAGCCCAAUGGCCAGCCAGCUCAUGUUCAAAGCAAAAGAAGAGAUUUUGCCUUCAGCUCUACCACAUCAGUACCGCCUCAAUCGGUUUACAUGACAACCAUCCAUCAAAUUAUUUUUUGAGCUGCUAGAAGUUUGGCGGCUAAGACAGUCUACACCAUUACCUAGUCUCCUAAGUUCUCGCAGCGAUUCACCUACGCAUUACCUUCGGUUCAUCUGGGAUACAUGAUCCAAAGGAUCCAGAAGGAAUGAAAGCACAGUUUAUUGCUCCUUCCAGAUUCUCCCUGUGACCCGGAGUUUGAGCUCCUUCCUGUCGCCACCAGAGAAGCACAGGGCCAUGUUCCGCUGGAUGAUGAGCCCGUCGUAGCUGUCUCGGACUUUCCUGUGACUGUCUCUGAUGCUUCGAGGGAUACCUUGCCAGGUCAUCUUGCGGUUGAUGCCUCCAACCUCCAGGCUGUAGCUGUAGUUCUUGGCUUCGGCGUCGUCUCCCAUGAAUCUGAGGAAGGCGAUGUAGACAGGCGCCAUGCCCAACUGGAAUGCCUCAAAGUGCAGGCAGAAGUACUGGCCAAAGCAGCUGAAUACCUAGACAAAUAUUCAGGAGUUAGUUCUACAGCUCUCACUUCCAUGGAGAAUUAAACACAGACGACAGAAGCUGAAAACAGUAACAUAAUCGGUGAUGACAUGGAUGAUAGCAAGCAUGCGUUGUCAUGAGUACCUUAAUUGCAUUCUUAAGUAGUACGUACUAGCAUUAAGUGAAGAAUCAGCAACCCAUAAGACCAUAACUCAUGUUAUAAAAAACUAUCCUAGAACAACUUUGCCAUGUCUAGAUCUUGGACGUAGGGUGGUGAGGAGUAAUAUACUAGUAUCCAGGUCAAACAAAUUUUACAUGUCCAAUACAAUUGACAUGAACUUUGCAUAGUUUUUCAGAUUAUGAAAAUACAGAGAUAGGUGAUAAUUACCGUAAGCAUCCAUGUAGCAUUCUCAACCUCAUGAGGAUUUGAUUUGACAUAACGGUGAUUGAAGGUGCUUCCACUGUGCAUGUCAACCUUAUGAUCAUCCUUCAAGUGACUCACUAGAUAUGGAAUGUCACCAGCAACAGUGCAUUCAGAUCCAGCAUAUGGGCAAGUAUAGGGUCUGUAUUGGCACUGCGACUCAUGUUUCAGCUUGCAAUAAUAAGGAUAUAUUCCCAAGCAUCCAAAGUUCUGGAACUUGCAUGGAACCUCUAGAGAAGCAGCCACCUUCUCCAGAGCAAGGCAUCUUAUGUUACCCAGUUCAUUCCUGCAAGUUGGGCAGCGAUUAUGAACCCUUGGCUUGCAUCCAGAACAUAUGGUAUGGCCAUUGGAGCACUGCACACACAAAUGAGACAACAUAGUAAAGAACCUGUAUACAACUUCAUAUUCAACUUGCUUUUCUGAGCUUGAGAAUAUGCAGUGAAAUUCAAAACAAUCAUAACAGAUAUCAGGCCCUCCUAGGAGAACAUCUGACAAGGAACAAUCUGGAUAACAUCAAAAAUGAAAAAAAGAGCGUUCAAGUUCAAAAUGUUUGCAAGGAGCUAGUCACAGGUGGGCCUGAUGCAUGGGGAUGGUUACCAGAGAGGAAGAGAUAUAACCUGCUAGUGUGAAGGAAUUCAUAAAGAAGUUACCAACAUAAAGCCUAUCUUAGCUCUGCCUGCCUUAAAGGUAAAUCAGCAUUUUCAUAUUCUUUCAAGUGUGUGUUCUUGUCCAAUCACGUAUAUUGGCAUACACAUGGCACUUCAAAAAAUCCAGGAAAGGCCAGUAUAAUGCAACUGAGAUGCUUCAGCUAAAUGAGUUCAGUAGCCAAGGCAUACCUGAUGAAUUGGAGGAUACAUGGCAACCAAACACACAGGGCAUUCCAAUAGCUCACGAACAUUGCUAGAAACUAUCGCAUUCUGUUUUGGUGAAUGCUGGAUAGGAUCGCCAAUGAGUUCAGUGACAUCUAACAUCUCACACUUUGGAGGGUCAAUAACUUCAGCAUCAGUGUCAUCAAGAUAAGCACCUGAUGCCAUGGUCAAACCUAUUGGUACAGAAUUCUGCAUGGAGAAAAAAAAAGAAAUCAAGAGGGGAAUUAGGCUCGAGAGUAAAAUGAGAAAGAUAAUUUUUAUUCGUGAGAAUAUCACUUAAUCAGAUUAGAACGCUUUUCUAUGGAACACAGAAAAGUAAAUUUUGUCUGCCAAGUCCUAAGCCAACCAUAACAUAACCCAACAGCACUUAAAGGUUCUGUAGUGAAGAUCAUUAACGACAGAAAUCAUGAACGCACAUAGGUUGGACCUCAGACAAAUCUUGUACGAUUUGAUGCAGCAAGUCUUGUUAGAUUACAUCACUACACCCCAAGCAAGAAAACACAGAUGCCAUGGUGUUCAGCCACUAUGCUCGUAGUUUUUCAGCAAAACAUUGAAAUGUUUUUAGUCUCUCACUGUACUUUUUGUUCUGCCUUUCUAGUCAACUUUUUUUUCAGUUUCAACCCCUGUAUUUGAAAAUUUUAACCAAGUACCUACUCCCUGCUGCAACUUUAUUUUGUCGAAAAUCAACACACGCCCAUAGGAAAAAGCCACACAUGACACAUCAUUGUGGCACAUCCCAAAUAUAGUAUCAAAGGAAACUAAGUAAACGUUGGUUGGUCAGCUAAUUUUUUCUCAUGAUGUGAUGAGAUGCUAGCAACACGCAGCAGCUCUAAUGAUUGCCACUCAACAGGAACCCCUGAAUCUUCUGUUCUUGUCUUCCAUGAUUAGAAACCAUGAAUACUUGGCAGUGGGGAUGCAGAGAAAACAGUAGAUGCAGCACGAAAUCGCCAUUCCAUCUUAUCUAAACUCGAAGACCGAAGCUCCCAGCUUCAGCUCCACCAAACUCCCAUCAGAAACAUCCGUGGUGAUGAUAAUCCACCAUUAACGCAGAGAAAUCUCGAGCUCCAGUGCCGCUAAUGAAUAAAGCAGCGAUGCGGGGGAAAUUACUAAUCGAGCCAACAAGUAAACCAGCGCAUCUAGACAUGAAUAAUGAAUAAACAAACAAACAAACCCCACACAACGGCCGCCAAAUCCCCCCAAACCACAACCAAAAACCCUAAUCGGCAGCCGCCACUCGCACACACGCGCCAGCUACACGCAUUCCCCCAAUCUCAAGCACGCGCACAUCCGGCCCGAAACCCCGCACGCGCGCGCACCUCAAAAUCCCAUGGGAAUCCGACCCCCAUCGAACCGAAGAAACGAAGCUAGCAGCUAGCCAGAGAACAGCACGCCCGGAUUGAGUUGGGGGGAGAUCGGAAUGGCGGAGAGGGGAUUUGACCAACCUCGGAUGGCUUGGCUUGGCUUGGAGCUCCCUGCGGCGGAGGGCUCGAGACGGCGAGCGCGUUCGAAAUAAAGGAAGCCCCUUUGUGUUGCUCGUCUCUGAGACUCUGACGAAGAGAGGGAGUUUGUUUGUUUGCUUUCAGUCCUCGGGGUUUGGAUGGAGGGAGCGUUUUUAACUUUUUAUUUGCAUUUGGACAGUCGCUGCUGCUCAUUAAAUAAGCAGUGGAGUGAGUGUGCUGUGAUCCAGGUUUGAUAGCCAGUGAUCAACGGUCAAAUAAAUAAAUAAAGAGGAGUUACUGCUGCCUGCUACUCCAUCUGUCCAGGCUCUUUUAAAUGAAGCUUGGUGUUCGUCCAUGGUGAAGUUUGAAACGAAAAUAAUCAAAUUCCAUCUCUUUUGAAAUGAUGUACUUCCUCCGACCCAUAUUACUUGUUGCAGAUUUAGUACACGGAAGGAGCAAGAUUCUUUUUUCAGAGAGAGAUGGGAAAACAGUAAUCAAAAGAUAGGUGAAGUUUGAAAUCUGAAAGCGGUGAAGUUUGAAAGGGAAAUGAACCGAUGGUUGGGGCGGUUUGUGGUUUGUUUAGGCAGUAAUCAAGGAAAAAAAGAUUACUUUUUCCCUAGGAACACGGAAUAUCUGGGGGCACUCCUAUUUGGUGGGAGGACCGGCAAGUUUUCUUCACUGAUAUCGCCUAAUUUGACGGAAUUAGCACGAAACACGCAUUUUGACUCGACAAAACUAGGUUUCCAACUCACGGAACAUCGGAUUUUCCACUUGUAAAACUGGAUUCCUGAAUCAAGAAACAACAAUUUUCUAGAUUCGAAAUCAAAAGCUCCCAACCCACUGAUCAAACAUUUUUUUUCCGCUUCGUGAGAAGGAAGCUAAUAAUUCACCACUUGGCAAGUAAGUAUCGAGUUCCACAUGGAUCUAUCGCAAACUUUCUACGGAAAAAUCGAAAAGAAAUCCAUCCGCUAGGUCAGAUCUAGAAGUAUGUACCCUUUUAUUGGCAAUCUCGAGGACAACGAUAGCGGCACGUCUCCUGGCAGCCCGGCUCCUAGAUGCGUCGACGCUGCUCAUGGCGACGUCGAGGGGGACGACGACUCUAGCCCUCCUCUGGUCCCGGCGGCGGUGCAUCUCCGAGGCGAGACAAAGGGGAAGAGAGGUAGAGUGAAAUGACAUGGUUGAAAGUGGGGAAUUCUUAUACCGUUUCGCCCAUGAGAGGAGUCUAUAAAGGAAGGUAACCGAUAAGUGGGGUCCACGACAUAUAUAUGAGGAUCCAUGAACAAUAGCAUGUUAUAAUUUUAUAAAUAUUUUAAUAUUUCAAAUGUUCUUUUUUAAUAAAGGUAAAAGCUUUGGAUGUUGCAUUUAUCAGAUGAAUAGUGAGAAAUCAAACAAAAACCGGUACAACCACGGCCAAGCCCAUUCCCGUUGUAGGUGUGGCAAAUGCAAUAAAACCAUGCCAACCAAACACACGCAAACCUGAAACCAACGGAACGAAGCUAGCUGGUCUCCUACAACCAACGCAGAGAAUAAGUCGAGACUGUUGCGCAAAGAGCAAACUUAGAACCCUCCCAUGGAGACAAGGAAGCAUGCAUUCUAAAAAUGGACAUACAUCUAGGAGCAUGGGAAAGAGCUCUUCCUAUUUGGAAGCAAUAAUCAUAACAAAGAGCAUCAAAAUUCUCAUUGUAAAUUCAUAAUUGCUAAAGGCAAGUGCCAAAUUCAAAUGUGGAUGCCAUUUUUUGCCCAUUGGUGUUUGAGUUUUUUUUUUUUGAAGUUUUAGUCACCAUUUUUUAUACUUUUAUUACUUUUUUUACUUCUUGUAAUUGCACUCCUUUUUAUGCGGUUGCACUUUCUUCAUUAUGCAUUUGUUGAAUUUGCAUCCUCUCUUUUUUAGCUUUGGGUCAUAAAAACUGACCGAAAUUUUCUUAAGUGUGUUUGGAUGCUACAUAGGAAGAAUGUAGGAAUUCUGAGAUUAGAUAGAGUAAGAAAUGAGAGAGACAUAUACUAGAAUUCAUGUAUGAUCCAAAAAUGAGGCUUCAGUUCAUGUUAGAAUUCCUAUGGAAUUGAGACCAUAGGGAUGCAUUCUAUAGUACUUUGCCAACUCCAUGCUUGUAUGAUCCAAAUGGCUCUUGAAAAUCCUACGAUCCAAGGCCGUCAGCGGUCUAGACAUUCCCUUUGAGAUUAGCCAGAACCUGUCUGUUCCAAAAGAAGUAAAACCGACAGGCUGCAAGCAAAACACAACAGACAACAGAAAAAUAAACAAGGCACCAGACUCCUUUCCUCCUUUUUCUUUUCAUUCUUGCCCUGCUUACAUAAGUCAGAUACUCAGAUACACUCAUCAGAUCGCCUGCACUUGCUACUUGAGCAUGUCAUGUCGAUGGCAUGCGGGGAAAACGAAGCUGCGAAAUGGGAGGUCAGCUUUGGCACUUGCCCAAGUAAAGCAAAUAUACAGUGAGCCAAGCUUUUAGCAGAGCCACCAUUAAAAGAAGUAAAAAUUUGAAUGCUUCAAUCCCCAAUCAUGCAUCAAAGAGGAAAUAUAAUAAGCAUAUGGGAGGUGUUUAUUGAGUGAGAAGAGCCC